AAGGUUUUGGAAAACAUCCUAAGGGUUCUGUGUCAUCUCACUGGAAGAGCUGAGACUGUGAAUUUAAUGUUAGCAAAUGGACUUGAGUUAACUAUCAACAGGUUGUUAUUGAGCACAUCUAGCAAAAGUAUUUUACAUAAGGUUGCAAAUAAAAUGAAGUUUUCACUGACCAGUUUGCAAAAUGUUCACCUACAAAAUGAUGCCGUCUAUUGUGAAGGGAAUAAUGAUAUCAUGGAUAUUCCCAGAGAGAAAUCAAGUCAGUCUACAGUGGAUCAUAA